CUUGCAGCGUUCUCUUUUGGUGGCGCUGUAAAUAAUUAUUAUUUUUUUAAAAAAAUUCUUUAAUUACUUAUUUCAUUCUUAGCUAGUUUAAUUCAUCAAAUCCCAUGAAAAAAAACCUACUUUGGUAGUUUUCUCUCCUUCAUUCACCGCCCACUCUCAUUCACCUUCAUUCCUCCGAUUCCGACAAUGUAUUUCCUUCUUCUAAGAUAGUUUUCGCUCAUUUGAAGCCUAUGCGCAAAAGGCGACGAAGUCUAGGUUGUUCACGGUGCCUCAUGGUCGGAAAUGCUUCUUGGGAGCUCGGUAUUUAGUGGUAUUGGAAAUUCGGAAUGACCAAGGCUGGUGAAAUUCGGAAUGACGAUUGCCGUCCACUUCUCGGCAACCCAAUCCCGUUUUCCCUCAUUACCUCCGUCGAAUUAUCAAGGUGAUUUUUUUUUAUUAUCAAUCCCAUCUUUUGCUGUAAUUUUUCAGUUGCUUUAAAAUUAAGCUUGUUGAUUCUUCUUUUGGAUCUGGGUUUCAUUGUUCAUUACGAAUGUUGUGUGAAAUUUUUGUGAUAUUUUGAUUUGAUCAUUUGAGGGUUCAUUUAUUUUGUUGCUAAUCUAAUUUCAGUAAUUUACAUUGAAAAUGAUGAUUAUUUGGGCAGUUUAGCUUUUAAAUUCGUUAAUAGGAAGUCUA